rnacentral:sRNA from 1 species
CUUAAUUACCGUAUGUACGUUGUAAGCUGGCCCUAUAAACUUUGUAGUAACAUUUUGUGUUCCUCUGUGAUACAUGGCCUGAUUCAGGGUCUCUCUGUGAUAUUCACAGUUUAAGUCAGUCGAUAUCAUUUCACGACAACUUUGCUUCUAUAAUGUAAUAGUGCUGACAUUUUCUUGCUCUCGAUAUACAUGCAGUAGUGUUGUAUACACGGGAUGAAAUAUGUGUUCUAAAUACAUGCAUGCACUCACACGGUACGUACUUUGAGGUGCUUUCUUUAGAGUAAUUCAGUUCUGUAGAAAAUGUAAUGUAUAUUACAUGUAAUAUAUUAAUAUAUCAUUCCAAUACAUGAGAAUUGUUUUAUCUUAAUUAAAGAUUAUACUGUUUUAGACGGUAGGAACUUGCACAAGUCCCUGUUGAAUCUAUUUUUUUUUUAAAAAUUUAAAAACUGACAAUGUAGCAUAUCUUUAACAUCAAUAUAACACAAUCUAUAUUUUUGGUAAAAUGUGCCAUUUUGGAUAUCAAGUUUCUACUUUGUGCUUUGCUUUAGGAUCCUUUUUUGCACAAAAUGUAUGCUGUUUUUAUUUUUAAAAUAUUUUUUUUUUCAUGUACUUCAUUACAUAAUAAAAAUAUAUAUUU